UACGAAGGUGGCAAGCGUUGUUCGGAUUUACUGGGCGUACAGGGAGCGUAGGCGGUUGGAUAAGCCCUCCGUGAAAUCUCCAGGCUUAACCUGGAAAGUGCAGAGGGGACUGUUCAGCUAGAGGAUGGGAGAGGAGCGCGGAAUUCCCGGUGUAGCGGUGAAAUGCGUAGAGAUCGGGAGGAAGGCCGGUGGCGAAGGCGGCGCUCUGGAACAUUUCUGACGCCGAGGCUCGAAAGCGUGGGGAGCAAACAGG
rnacentral:rRNA from 1 species